AAGAUAUGCUUUAGUCUGCGAGAGUUUCAUAUGUUUUGCUUGACUAAGUGAUUCAAAUGAUGUAAUGAUCUACCUAUGCCUCUGCAUUGCAUUGAAUUUUCGGCUUAUAUAUGCCGCCGUUGAUAGAAUACAUAGUCUCCGUGCUCUCGAGUUUGAGGUGCGGUGAGGCGUUUCUGCCUCUGGACCCUUCCUGGCCAAAACAGAGGCUAUUCUUCGUCAUUGCUUUGGCCAAUGUCGACAAUCGACCUAAUAAUCACCUGCAAGACUCCGUUUGGGUACAAAUUGGACUCCAAUUGGCUCGAGCAAAGUUGCAAUCGAAAUUCUCUAUGGUUUUCCAUAAGUGGAGAGUUUGUGACAGUGAGUGGUGGAGGAGAGUGUAGGCGUGAGAGUGAGAAAGAGGAUGAGAGGCUGUUCUGUUAUGUAAUGUACAGUUCGGGCUCGACGGGGAAGCCGAAAGGUGUUUGUGGCACUGAACAAGGUCUUUGGAAUCGGUUUCUGUGGAUGCAAGAAUUGUAUCCACUGAAUGGAGAGGAGGUUUUGUUGUUCAAGACAGCAAUAAGCUUUGUUGAUCACUUUCAAGAAUUUCUUAACGCUAUUCUUACUGGUUCUGCUUUGGUUAUACCUCCUUUCAAUCAACUUAAACAGAAUGUGUUCUUCAUUGUGGAUUUUCUACAGGUACAUGACCUUCGCUUAUUGUUUGUUUGGCUUUUCGUACUCGGAUUAUAUUCUUGAACUAGGAUUAGAACUGUGUUAGAAUACUACAUUUCAUAAAGGUAACUGGAUGUCAAUUACUCAAGACUAGAAUACUUUAAAAUUUUUCAUGUGGUAUUGACAUGUGAAAUUUUAAUUUUUGAGAGGCAUUAUAGGAAAACACAUCUCUUGGAUUUGUAGUAGGCACGGGAUGUGGGUUGUAAUUAGUUGAUUAGUUUGAUCAGGGAAAAAGAGCAUAUGCUAGGAAGAAAACAGAUAUACGGAACUGUGCCUUUGAAAUUCAAUGGCUUGCAUCCUUUUCCAACAUGAAAUUCAAGCCAUAUUAGGCUACUAGUUAGGGAUCCACGUGCCCUGAUCAUAGAUUCAUAAUAACAGACUAUUGGCUCAUAUUUUGGUUCUAAUAUUGUAUACUCGAUAACAAUCAAAUGAUUGCACAGUGAAGGCUAUAUUUAGUGCAAAGUACUAAUUAAAAGAAAGCUCUAGUUUUGCUUAUCACUUUAUUGGUUAAUUGAGUUGCUUUCAGUCCAGAUGAAGCUUUUAGCUAAAUGGUCUACGUUUGUGAUUAUGUUUUAGUUUUCUAUGGUCCUAUGCAGUGGUUGAUUAUGAUGCUUGGAUAUUUAUCUGUAUUAUGAGUAGUGGCCUUCUGUAGGGUUUCUCUGUAUGAAAACAUAUAUAUACUUGGUUAGUUGGCUGGUGUUUAACUGUUUUUGAUCAGCUAAUGUGCUAUUUCGUGACAGGAGAUAGAACUAAUGUAAUGUGGAACCUGAAUAAGCUGUAACACAUCCAGAAUUUAAAUUAUUCCUAUUCUGGAGGUGUAGUCUUGGCUUCUCGAGAUGGGAAGAUUGUGCGUGACAACACUCUCGAUGCACGGUUGGAUGUUGUAUUCAGUAUUCUGUAAAAAACUUCCUGAGAUCCGCAUAAGGCUUUUCAAUCAGGUUGUUGCAUAAUGGGAAGAAUUAUAUUUCAAGUCAUUAGUUCCUAGCAUGGUCUUUGACCAAAGGAUCUAUUGUUCAGUUGUUUAUUUAUGUAUUUCCAAUUUUCAUGUUCUCUGAAUAACUUUCGUGGUAAAUUAGCAAAUUAGCUUUCUAGAAAUAGUACAGUGCCUGUAUAACAUUUCAUGUCACUGGUCAGGUCACAUUGCAUGUCACUAUUAUACAAAUGUCACCGACCAUUGUAUUUGAGAUA